rnacentral:rRNA from 1 species
UACGUAGGGGGCAAGCGUUGUCCGGAAUCAUUGGGCGUAAAGCGCGUGUAGGCGGCCCGGUAAGUCCGCUGUGAAAGUCCAGGGCUCAACCCUGGGAUGCCGGUGGAUACUGUCGGGCUCGAGUCCGGAAGAGGCGAGUGGAAUUCCUGGUGUAGCGGUGAAAUUCGUAGAGUAUCAGGAGGAACACCAGUGGCGAAGGCGGCUUUCUGGACGGUAACUGACGCUGAGACGCGAAAGCGUGGGGAGCAAACGGG